rnacentral:rRNA from 1 species
GACGAACCGUGCGAACGUUGUUCGGAAUCACUGGGCUUAAAGGGCGCGUAGGCGGGCGACCGAGUCCGGGGUGAAAGCCUUCGGCUUAAACGGAGAAGUGCCUGGGAUACUGGUCGUCUGGAGGGAGGUAGGGGCAGCUGGAACUUCCGGUGGAGCGGUGAAAUGCGUUGAUAUCGGAAGGAACGCCGGUGGCGAAAGCGAGCUGCUGGACCUCUUCUGACGCUGAGGCGCGAAAGCCAGGGGAGCAAACAGG